UCUUUAUUAGGUUUAUAGGGUACCUAGACCGAAAACCAAGCCUUAAUCGGGACUAGUUUUCUAGAGUUUUAUGUGAGAAAGUUGAAUGAUCAGAGUAGAGUCAAAAUUCGCUAAUACUGAUAAGACGGAUAACGGCGAAGGCUGCUUUCUAUGUAAAAAACUGACGUUGAGGUACGAAGCCCAGGGUAGCAAGAAGGAUUAGAUACCCUAGUAGUCCUGGGAGAAAAUUAUGAGUGCCAUAGAUUAGAUAUAUGAUUAAUUUAUAAAUGAAAGUGUAAGCAUUCCACCUCAUGAGUAAAGCGGCAACGCCCAAAUUGAAAUCAUUAGACCGUUUCUGAAACCAGUAGUGAAGUAUGUUAUUUAAUUCGAUAAUCCGCGAAAAACCUUACCACACUUUGAAUAUUAUUCAAUUUUUACAAGCGCUGCACGGCUGUCUACAGUUGAUAUCGUGAGAUUUUGGUUAAUUCCUUUAAUUAACGAAAACCCUUGUUUUAUUUUUUCAAAUAAAGCUGUUCUCCGUCUAGAUGGGAUAUGCUAAAAGGGAGCAAGACAAGUCAUUAUGGCCUUAUA
rnacentral:rRNA from 1 species